rnacentral:misc_RNA from 1 species
GGGAUUUUGUUUCUUUGUCUUCGAUUGGUGCAAUUCUUCUGAGGACACUGUUGGUCCUUGUUUGUUUUAGAGGGCUAUUAUUUAGCACUCCUUUGGAGGUUCUUGCAUAUGUGUAUGUUGUUGGUAGGCUAUUGUUUCUCAGGUAUUUUGGGUAUUGUGUUUUUGCCAAUAGAUUUCAGUUCCUGUGUUCCUAUUUAUGUAUCUCUCAGUGUUUG